AGUGAACGCUGGCGGUAGGCCUAACACAUGCAAGUCGAACGGCAGCACAGUAAGAGCUUGCUCUUACGUGUGGCGAGUGGCGGACGGGUGAGGAAUACAUCGGAAUCUACUUUUUCGUGGGGGAUAACGUAGGGAAACUUACGCUAAUACCGCAUACGACCUACGGGUGAAAGCAGGGGAUCUUCGGACCUUGCGCGAUUGAAUGAGCCGAUGUCGGAUUAGCUAGUUGGCGGGGUAAAGGCCCACCAAGGCGACGAUCCGUAGCUGGUCUGAGAGGAUGAUCACCCACAUUGGAACUGAGAAACGGCCGAGACUCCUAGGGGAGGACGCAGUGGGGAAUAUUGGACAAUGGGGGAAAGCCUGAUCCAGCCAUACCGCGUGGGUGAAGAAGGACUUCGGGUUGUAAAGUCCUUUUGUUGGGAAAGAAAAGUAGCAGGUUAAUACCCCGCUGUUCUGACGGUACCCAAAGAAUAAGCACCGGCUAACUUCGUG
rnacentral:rRNA from 1 species